CCUACGGGUGGCAGCAGUGGGGAAUAUUGGACAAUGGGCGAAAGCCUGAUCCAGCCAUGCCGCGUGUGUGAAGAAGGCCUUCGGGUUGUAAAGCACUUUCAGUGGGGAAGAAAGCCUUGGGGCUAAUACCCUCGAGGAAGGACAUCACCCACAGAAGAAGCACCGGCUAACUCCGUGCCAGCAGCCGCGGUAAUACGGAGGGUGCGAGCGUUAAUCGGAAUUACUGGGCGUAAAGCGCGCGUAGGCGGUCUGAUAAGCCGGUUGUGAAAGCCCCGGGCUCAACCUGGGAACGGCAUCCGGAACUGUCAGGCUAGAGUGCAGGGGAGGAAGGUAGAAUUCCCGGUGUAGCGGUGAAAUGCGUAGAGAUCGGGAGGAAUACCAGUGGCGAAGGCGGCCUUCUGGACUGACACUGACGCUGAGGUGCGAAAGCGUGGGUAGCAAACAGGAUUAGAUACCCUUGUAGU
rnacentral:rRNA from 1 species